UACGGAGGGGGCAAGCGUUAUUCGGAAUUAUUGGGCGUAAAGGGCGCGUAGGCGGCUAGAUGUGUCAAAGGUGAAAUCCCUCGGCUCAACUGAGGAACUGCCUUUGAAACUGUCUGGCUUGAGGCCGGGAGAGGGUAGCGGAAUUCCCAGUGUAGCGGUGAAAUGCGUAGAGAUCGGGAGGAACACCAAAGGCGAAAGCACUCUGCUGGGCCGCAACCGACACUGAGAGACGAAAGCGAGGGGAGCAAAUGGG
rnacentral:rRNA from 1 species